GAACGUCUUCUUCCUCUACGCCCGCCGGUGCUUCCCCGCCAAAUUCCCGCGAUCUGAGGCUUCCUCAACUUCGAUCUGCUACUCCUCCUUCAUCUACGUGAGCUCCUCUCUCUUCCGCUUCUUUACUCACGCGUUUUUGUGAACCGUAGCUCUCUGGCCACGUGCACGUGCUCCCAGGCCACCGCCGGCGAGCCGCUGCUCCUCUAAGGACCUUGUGGUGGCCUUCGUGUCACUUAGAUCUGCUCCGCAUGCCGCUGUUUUCCUGCGCCUGUUGGCCGCUGCCGCCGCUUGUUUGGUCGCCGACGCCGGGGAAGAUGGCCGUGCUGCUGUGCGUCCUAAAGCCUCCGCCUUUUGUCCUGUUAAUUGGUUAUGCGUCUCUUAUCCUUCAAGAUCUGCUGCACCAUCCCAUGGGGCUAGCUCCCUCGUCCGUUCGCCCUGUUCAGUUCACAGACCCAAGUUUGAUCCCCAUCUGCAGCAAAGACCCCAACCUUUUUCCUCUUAUCCGAAACUGACAGGUGGGACCCCUUGGUCAGUGACCGCAGGGACCAGCUCAGCGCGCCCUGCCUCGUCAGCUCUCCCGGGCCCUGUCAGCCGCACGAGCUAGCUGCACCUGAGUAGCUGCUGCUCUGUGUGUUUUCUUUUCCCUGUUUUAAAUUCCAGAUUAUUGCUUAAUCUUGUUUAAAUCAUAUCUUUUGCAUACCUUGUCCAAAUCAUGCAAACUUUAUAUGUAAAUUGAUCAGUAAAAUAUGAGGAAUCUGUUCAUGUCAUCAGUUUUCCAAUUUGAACAUCAUAAUUUUAAAUCUGUUUGAACAAUAGUUUAAAUCCAUUUGAAACUUGUUUAAUUCAUACAAGUUGUUUUGUAACUCCAAAAUUGGUAAACCUUAUAUUCAUUUUGAUCACCAAGACCUGAUUAACUUGUUCAUGGCAUUCUCAUUCAUGUUUGAACAACUUGAACUUGCUGUUUAGUGUAAAACAUCUAAUUAAUGCAUAUGGAGUUGGAAUUCCAAUGCUUUAGGAAUUCCAAUCCAUUUAAUGUGAUUAGUGUAUCAACUACUUGCUGUUAAUAUGUAGUGCAUCAUCCCUAUGUCAAGCAUCAUCCUUUGUUUGCGCAUAUUGAAUACCAAGUGUAUCUUGUAUGCUUAUACUUUCUUUCUAUGUGGUAUAUUUGCUUCUUCCUCGCUAGUCUCCUGUUCCGACGACGAUGAUGACUACGCUUGUGUUCUUCUUCCAGGAUUCUUGCUCAAUUUCGGGCAAUUGAGUACUCCAGACAAGCAGCCAUUCCUUGACCAUGUUGUUUAUACCCAAUGCCUCUCUCUCAUUCUUGCACUAAGUUACGUUCUCAGUCUUGUCACGAUGCCUCUAGGAUUGCAUAGCUUUUUAGUCAGCUCUACUCAAAUGCCUUUGUCUUGUUACUUGUCCUAUUACCAUGUCACAUGUUUGCUUGUUGCCCUAGUUCUUGGUCAUUAGAUUUCAUGCUUAGGUUGCGAGUCUAGUGUCCUUACUUUGGGGUUAUACAAUUGCUACAUGCUACUUUAUGUUACAAUAUUAAAACUAUGUCAUGAUAUUAAACUGUGACAAAGCAACGAUGGGAGGCCGUGCUCUAAUGCAUUGGUGAUUUGUUCUAUUUGCGCCGACCUAAGGACUGAGUUCUCAUUUUCGCCGAUCCAAGACACUUCGCGCUAACCGCUCGUGGGUGAAGAUAUGGCUUCCCCCUCGGCCUAGUACUCGUUUCAUAGCUCUUCAAGGGGCCACAUAGUUCGGGCGUUCCAUUGGCAUUUGCAUUGCAUGCACACAGAGAUUUGUGGAGACUUGUUGGUGACUUUGCAUUCAUAUAGGAUUGCGGCACUAGUCUGGAGUGGUCAUCCUGCGGGUUCUGAACCACUGCCAGCUGUCCUCGCAACUCUUGAGUCCGUACGACGCUUCGGCCGGGCUCUCGUUUCGGAUAGACUCAGUUGGGUGGUCCCCCUGGAUUAGUUGUGGAACUUGGAAACGUCGUGUCGCUCAAUCCAGCCAGCGCACAUUUGAGCGUGAGCACGCUUGGUAUUCGUGGGUUGGUCGAACGUGUAUGGGUAAAUUGGUGCACCCUGCAGGGAUAAAUCUUUCGGAAAGUCGUGUCCGCGGUGAUGGACGACUUGGUUGGUCAUUACUUGAUCAUAGAGAACUUUCACCAACUUAAUCUCAACAACUUGAGUAGUAAUUAGCCUUAAUCAUGGAUAUGCUUAAAACUGCUUAAUUGUGAGUGUCCUUUGGAUUGCUUCCUCACAUGGUGUUGAGGGGGUGAUAUGAGGAUUGUGUUGUUUUGGUGUUUAGUAAAUAGGUUAAUCACCUCACUUAGUAGACGCUUCUCAUCAUCUCAUUAAACGUUGUUAUUAGAGUGUCUCUUCAGAUAUCUGCUGCUGCAUAACCCCACUUUACCCUCCUUUGAGACAUGUUGCAUACUAGAAUAGAUCUCUCCGUAAGUCUUGCGAGUACUUUGUACUCAGUUGCUUUGCAACGUUGUUUUCUUCAGAGGUUCCAGCAAAGCAGGUGAGCCGCUAGCUUCUUCGUGGAGCACGACGUUGGAUUCGAUGUUUAGCCAGGAGAUCCAGAUCAGGGUUCUGAGACUCGUGGCGGGUUUCCUUCCAGCUUCCAGCCUCUUCAGGCCAUGCUGUAUUCUUGUCCGUACUCGGGCAUAGUUCGACUUCCGCUGAUGUAAUGAUGGAAUGUUGGGACAUAUGUCCUCUCUUUGUAAUAAUUGUUAUUCUGCUCCUUGUAUGAGCUUUGUAAUUACUCUCUUCUGUAGAGUUAUGGUAAUGAUAUUCAUGUUGCAAAAUCCUGCGAUGAGCACAUUAAUGCGUGUAUGUAUUGAGGUGUUUAUCGUAGGUUAAGAACCUGAGGCUUGAAUUAUGCAAAUGUUAGCAAUUUGGGGCUAAAUAGUAUAAUUCCGGUCCCGGAGUCUUACAUCGCAUUUGCAAGGGAAGGAAUAUCUGCAUAAUAGCUCAACAGUACAUAGAGAAAUUGAGGUUAAAACUCUGAACCCUGAAAAACAUAUAUAAUAACCUGUGUAAUAUUGAUUGUUUGGUUCUGCUCGUUGUCUUGAUGAUUCUAAAAAAAAUUCUGGCCGCAACCUUCUUAUUGGUAAUAGGUGCAUAACUUGCCAUUAUUCAGACCAUUCCAGUGGACUUUUUAUGCCUCUGCAACUUUGUAGUAUUUUGCAACUUCCAUAGGAUUAACUUAGAUUUUUCUUGCAGUUAUUUUUCCA
rnacentral:lncRNA from 1 species